rnacentral:rRNA from 1 species
CAGUCGCCACGGUAAUACGGAGGGAGCUAGCGUUGUUCGGAAUUACUGGGCGUAAAGCGCGCGUAGGCGGUUACUCAAGUCAGAGGUGAAAGCCCGGGGCUCAACCCCGGAACUGCCUUUGAAACUAGGUGACUAGAAUCUUGGAGAGGUCAGUGGAAUUCCGAGUGUAGAGGUGAAAUUCGUAGAUAUUCGGAAGAACACCAGUGGCGAAGGCGACUGACUGGACAAGUAUUGACGCUGAGGUGCGAAAGCGUGGGGAGCAAACAGGAUUAGAUACCCCUGUAGUCCCUGUCUCUUAUAA